AAGUAUUUUAUUUAGAUAACAUUUGUCACAGAUAUGGUACAAUAUUACAAGUUUAGUAUAUAAUACAAGAGAGACCAUUACAAACUUUACACUUCAUUACAAGAAUCUUUGGAUUUUAGCAUCUUUUAAAAAGGUACAAGCAACAAUAUUUCUGAAAACCAGUCUCAACAUUUGUUCUUUAUAUACAGGCUCCCAACAUUUACAAAAUGACAAAUUAACAGAAAAGACAAUUGAGAAACAGCUCCUCAAAAACAGGAAGUUAGUGUCCAGGCAAUGAAAUGCUUUGGGUAGCCUAGUGGGUAGAGUUGCUUGGAAGGUGAACUUGCUCUCUAAAUACAAGCUCAUCUUCUUUUUGUAGGUCUUUCAGGAUACCUUACCUGUGAACUUUAAUUAGACCAGGGGUCCUGCAAAUACUGUCAUGCUGAAUAGAGUUCCAUGUGGCUUUUGGCCUCAGUAAAAAUGUCUUUCAAAUGCUGAUACAAAUUAUUAUUAGUUUAUCCCACUUUUCUGCCCAAAAGAAAGGCAUUGUGACAGUGAAAAGGAAUGAAGAACCGUAAAGAGAUGUUGCAUCUGCCAUGAAGAAUCUUUUCUCUCAAUUUUCAAGCAGAGCCUACAGACAGGAUUAUGCCUUAGAAUCAUACAGGAUGCUACAUUCCACUGAGUGCCAAUUGUCAUUAUUAAACACUGCCUAGCAUGUAACAGUGCCAGAUCAAUGGAUGCAAUACAUUAAUCGGCAGCAAUCCAGAUUAUGAAAAAUGUGUGCUAAUAUAAAAGGAAGACUUAUGUAAAAGAGAAUUAUAUAAUUUUUAUAUUGAUUAAUUUAAAUUUCAUUUUGCCUUGAAGUAAGUGACAAGCAGCCUGUUCGAUAAAGAUCUGAUAGAGGGUUUCCAUUGGCACCCAGUGAACUUUGGGGCUAAAUGAGAAUUUGAAUUUGGAUCCUAAGAAUAUUUAAGUGACAAUUCCAUAUUAUCUCAACAUAAGAUUUUUGUAUAUUGUCAGGGCAAUUUCCAAACAGAGCCAUUAUCCUAGUUUCACUAGAAGAAACUGUUCCAACUGCAUGGCUGACCUACUAAUGUUGCUCAUCACGUGAUAUGGUCAAUCUCUGCUCUGACAUUUUACAGACAGACUGAAAUAACAUAGCUUCUUUAUGAAGACUCUAUGGUGCACAUGCAUAUUUUUCAACAAUUUCUAGUCUUCAAAUCUUUUCCACAAAGGUACAAACUUUAACAAAGGAAGAUGAUGGCAACCAAAACAUACAGAAUGGGAUACUGAACCAUACACAUUGAAAAAAACCAAGCUUGCUGUAUAGAAUCAAUUGUCAUGCAAAAUGAGGGAGGUAGUAGGCACAUGGGAAGAAUAAUGGUCAA